rnacentral:rRNA from 1 species
AACGAACGCUGGCGGCAUGCCUAACACAUGCAAGUCGAACGAGACCUUCGGGUCUAGUGGCGCACGGGUGCGUAACGCGUGGGAACCUGCCCUUAGGUUCGGAAUAACUCCCCGAAAGGGGUGCUAAUACCGGAUAAUGUCUUCGGACCAAAGAUUUAUCGCCUUUGGAUGGGCCCGCGGUGCAUUAGCUAGUGGGUAGGGUAAAAGCCUACCAAGGCGACGAGCCAUAGCUGGUCUGAGAGGAUGAUCAGCAACACUGGGACUGGGACACGGCCCAGACUCCUGCGGGAGGCCGCAGUGGGGAAUAUUGGACACUGGGCGAAAGCCUGAGCCAGCCAGGCCGCGUGAGUGAUGAAGGCCUUAGGGUUGUAAGGCUCUUUUACCCGGGAUGAUAAUGCCAGUACCGGGAGAAUAAGCCCCGGCUAACUCCGU